CAGCACCUCAAGUGGUCAGGAUGAUUAUUGGGCCUAAAGCAUCCGUAGCCGGCGCUGUAAGUUUUCGGUUAAAUCUGUACGCUCAACGUACAGGCUGCCGGGAAUACUGCAGAGCUAGGGAGUGGGAGAGGUAGACGGUACUCGGUAGGAAGGGGUAAAAUCCUUUGAUCUAUUGAUGACCACCUGUGGCGAAGGCGGUCUGCCAGAACACGUCCGACGGUGAGGGAUGAAAGCUGGGGGAGCAAACCGGAUUAGAUACCCGAGUAGUCC
rnacentral:rRNA from 1 species